ACUAAUAUAGUAAAAUCAUCAUCCUCUUUGCCGUGUGCCUACAAUUGAAUUCCGAAUACACAAACGAAGAGAUGCCGUCAAUCCUCAAAAUCUGUUGGUAAUCCAUCUGACUCAUUGCCUCUCUGACACUCAUACUUGUCACCCUCUUUUACCCAAUCUCACUAAAAGCAAAAACCCUAGAAAACCCUCAAUCCUAUUAUUCCCAAACGAAGGAGAAACGACUGAGAGAUCUAGUGUCAAAUAUAGGACAACAAAUGUUCUUUUUCCUGUUUUCCCCUUCCUCUGCCACAACACAAUGAGAGAUUCAGGAAUUUGGCUAUUGCUUGCUCGUGGAGAGUGUUAACCGUGUAAGAAGAAUCUUUCUCUGUUCCAGUUAUUGCUCUUGUUGAAAAGUUUAUCCAUCUUUAAAGUGAUUUAGGCCUUGUCCCGGAUGAAACUUAUAUUACUAAUUCAUUUUCCUUUGAUUUGUCUUUAA